rnacentral:rRNA from 1 species
GUGGGGAAUAUUGGGCAAUGGGCGAAAGCCUGACCCAGCAACGCCGCGUGAAGGAAGAAGGCCUUCGGGUUGUAAACUUCUUUUAUGAGGGACGAAGGACGUGACGGUACCUCAUGAAUAAGCCACGGCUAACUACGUGCCAGCAGCCGCGGUAAUACGUAGGUGGCAAGCGUUGUCCGGAUUUACUGGGUGUAAAGGGCGCGUAGGCGGACUGGCAAGUCAGAUGUGAAAUCCAUGGGCUCAACUCAUGAACUGCAUUUGAAACUGUUGGUCUUGAGUGUCGGAGAGGCAAGCGGAAUUCCUAGUGUAGCGGUGAAAUGAGUAGAUAUUAGGAGGAACACCAGUGGCGAAGGCGGCUUGCUGGACGAUAACUGACGCUGAGGCGCGAAAGCGUGGGGAGCAAACAGGAUUAGAAACCCCUGUAGUCC